rnacentral:lncRNA from 1 species
AAAAAAAAAAGAGAAAGUCUGUUCUUCAGUUGUCUACGAGAUGAUUUUUGCUUUUAGCUGCAAGCAAAUAAUGAAAGUAUGAUUCUGUACUCAGAAGUCAAAAGGCUGGACUUAUCCACUCUUCUUACAAUUUAAAUUGCAUCUGAAUAAGAUUUGUUGUUUUAGCUACAUCUUACAUCUCUGAAUAACUCUUCUAAAACUGUACGAUAUUUUUGUUUUAAAAGCCUUUCCAACCUUCUUGGUUGUGAAAUGUUUUAGAUCAUUUGGAGGAGUAAUAAAGUUUAUAUGUUAUCACAAAUCACAUAUAUAGAUUGAAUCAAAGCAACACAGGCAGAGAUAAACAUUGGCAUGCCAACGUAUGCACCACAAAAAGAACUAUUAAGUUAUCAUCAUAUCAAAAUCUAGGUGGCAUUAAGCACAGCCUAUAAUUAGACACGUCAGACAGGCUUCACAGUGUGGGCUUCGUCCACAGUCGAGCAUGUCACCGUGUGUUUGUGUUUUGCGUUUUGGUUCCGCGUGUAUUGUUGACUUAUGACAGGUUGUGAUUUUCUUGGAUAUUGAUUUAUGGAAUGGGCUGGGCUGGUUUACUAACUUUUAUGUUUGUUUAUGUACAAAACCAGUGGUCCAAUUAUAAAUAUAUACAACCAAAGCCUCUCUUCGUUAUCUUCCUCUUCCAUGUAGAGUAGGUUUCAGUCGGUUCAGUCUCCUCUGAGAAAUCAAAGUGACCCUUUCGGUUUCCAUGGAGCAGUGAAUCUUCUUCUACCUCUACAUCUCCCCUUCUUAACUCUUUGGAUCAUUAAUGCUUCAGAAUCCUAACAAUUCAGUUAUUCCUUCUUAUAUAACCUCAUCGUAAAAACUGAAACUUUACAUAUCAAAUCCAGUAAUCACCAUUACAGAUUUAGAGAAAUCUUCCAACCCUUUCUGUCAAGUGACAAUCUCACCAGAAGACGCCAAUUAAUUAAUUAAUCUGUUUGGUCUUCUUCAACCUAGAAAGACAAAGUCCUUCGUGGAUUAGAUCGGGACGGCUAUUGCAGCUUCGAUUGGCGGAAGAGCUAUCUGACUCUGAUCCAAAAAAUUCCGGAGGCGGAUCAUCAGAAUCAUCACUGCCUGUUACCCUUCCUCUUGAUUCAUACGCAAGCGCACAUGAAAACCCUAGGCAAACCCAUUAUCCAGGUUCCUCCUUGGCUUCUCUUUUUUCAUCACCUCUGUCUCUACUAUAUAAAUAUAAAUCUUAAUAUCAUGCUUUCAUUCAUUGUGUUUCGUCUAAUUGUUUGGAACUCAACGUAUCAAAAUACUCACUUUAAGAGUUACAAAAAAAUACUUACUUUUUAAAUUUAUUUUUGAACAGAGAACUUGGGAGAGGAUGGUGUCAACUUUUACGCUUUGGGCUGUGAGUCACAGACUGUAACGUUGGUAAUAUUUCUCAGCUCUCUACUCUUUCUGGUUCUGAACACAAGAAAGUUAUCUAAUUUAUGGAUCAAAGGUGUCCUUUUUUGUUAUCUUGUGAUUGUAAAGACUACAAGAUGAUCAUUUUUUUUUACUUAUUGUUAGUGGGCCAGAUAAAAAAGAGAAAAUGGAUGACGUGUUAGAGCUACACCAGUGUCGAAGAUCUGAAAAAAAGUUUCCAUGGCCACCGCUUCUGUCGUAUAUGACUCAGUGAACCUCUCCACUUAUCUGUUACACUUGGUAAACCUUCCACCCUAUUGAUUCAUCUGCUUGAAGAUGUUUCAUCAUCGUUGCUCACUGAAAGCAGCAGCAACAACUACCUUGAUUUAAUAAAGUGACAUAGCGGUUUGUGGAGGAAGCACUACAAGAGCACGGAGGAGAGAAGAUGAUAUUUCCAAAUGCAAGAAAGUGAUUCUGAAAAAAAAAAAGAGAAAGUCUGUUCUUCAGUUGUCUACGAGAUGAUUUUUGCUUUUAGCUGCAAGCAAAUAAUGAAAGUAUGAUUCUGUACUCAGAAGUCAAAAGGCUGGACUUAUCCACUCUUCUUACAAUUUAAACUGCAUCUGAAUAAGAUUUGUUGUUUUAGCUACACCUUACAUCUCUGAAUAACUCUUCUAAAACUGUACGAUAUUUUUGUUUUAAAAGCCUUGCCAACCUUCUUGGUUGUGAAAUGUUUUAGAUCAUUUGGAGGAGUAAUAAAGUUUAUAUGUUAUCACAAAUCACAUAUAUAGAUUGAAUAAAAGCAACACAGGCAGAGAUAAACAUUGGCAUGCCAACGUAUGCACCACAAAAAGAACUAUUAAGUUAUCAUCAUAUCAAAAUCUAGGUGGCAUUAAGCACAGCCUAACAAAAAAAAAAUUUAAAAUACAGUGUAUUAGUGUUAUCGGC